rnacentral:rRNA from 1 species
UAAGGAAUAUUGGACAAUGGGCGCAAGCCUGAUCCAGCCAUGCCGCGUGCAGGAUGAAAGUGCUCUGCACUGUAAACUGCUUUUACUUGGGAAAAAACCCCUGGUUUAUACCGGGGCUGAUUGUACCGAGAGAAUAAGGGACGGCUAACUUCGUGCCAGCAGCCGCGGUAAUACGAAGGUCCCAAGCGUUAUCCGGAUUUAUUGGGUUUAAAGGGUGCGUAGGCGGGCUAUUAAGUCAGUGGUGAAAGCCCCAAGCUUAACUUGGGAACUGCCAUUGAUACUGAUGGUCUUGAGUACAUUUGAGGUGGGCGGAAUGUGUCAUGUAGCGGUGAAAUGCUUAGAUAUGACACAGAACACCGAUUGCGAAGGCAGCUCACUAAACUGUAACUGACGCUGAGGCACGAAAGCGUGGGGAGCAAACAGGAUUAGAUACCCUGGUAGUCCACGCCCUAAACGAUGAUCACUCGAUGUGUGCGAUAUAC